UUUCCGUAGGUGAACCUGCGGAAGGAUCAUUAAUGAGUUGUCAUGGGGUUCGAUGCUGGCAGCCAAUUUUUGGAUGCAUGUGCUUGCCCUAACAAUCAUCUUCCAAACACCUGUGCACAUUUUUGAGGGAGUCUUGAGUUGGUUGCCGCUCUUGGGUGAUUUUCUCACAUUCCCUUAAAUCAUUAUACGCUAUUAACAAUGUUGAACGUGCUCUGUGCCGCAAGGCUAUUAAUAUAAUACAACUUUUAACAACGGAUCUCUUGGCUCUCGCAUCGAUGAAGAGCGCAGC
rnacentral:misc_RNA from 1 species